rnacentral:rRNA from 1 species
UACGUAGGGUGCGAGCGUUGCCCGGAUUUAUUGGGCGUAAAGGGCGCGCAGGCGGCUGCUCAAGUCAGGCGUGAAAGGCCUGGGCUCAACCCGGGAAUUGCGCUUGAGACUGGGCUGGCUUGAGUGCGGGAGAGGAUGGUGGAAUUCCCAGUGUAGAGGUGAAAUUCGUAGAUAUUGGGAAGAACACCAAUGGCGAAGGCAGCUCUCUGGGACGGUACUGACGCUGAGACGCGAAAGCGUGGGGAGCGAACAGG